AUUGAACGCUGGCGGCAUGCCUUACACAUGCAAGUCGAACGGUAACAGGUCUUCGGAUGCUGACGAGUGGCGAACGGGUGAGUAAUACAUCGGAACGUGCCCGAUCGUGGGGGAUAACGGAGCGAAAGCUUUGCUAAUACCGCAUACGAUCUACGGAUGAAAGCAGGGGACCGCAAGGCCUUGCGCGGACGGAGCGGCCGAUGGCAGAUUAGGUAGUUGGUGGGAUAAAAGCUUACCAAGCCGACGAUCUGUAGCUGGUCUGAGAGGACGACCAGCCACACUGGGACUGAGACACGGCCCAGACUCCUACGGGAGGGAGCAGUGGGGAAUUUUGGACAAUGGGCGAAAGCCUGAUCCAGCCAUGCCGCGUGCAGGAUGAAGGCCUUCGGGUUGUAAACUGCUUUUGUACGGAACGAAAAGACUCUUUCUAAUAAAGAGGGUCCAUGACGGUACCGUAAGAAUAAGCACCGGCUAACUACGUG
rnacentral:rRNA from 1 species